GCCGCUGCCAGUUCUGGCUAUGGGUGCCGUGAUGUGGUUGUUUAAGAGAAUUCAAGGAAUUCACACUUGAAUCGAUGAAUUCGAUGGAAUAAGCGUAGGAAUCCUUAUGAAUUGAGAAAAGAAUUCGAACUUACUUAUUGAAAUCAAUCAAGAAUUGCAGAAUUUGAGUUGAGGAAAGAAGAAGAAGAAGAAGUUUGGGAAC
rnacentral:lncRNA from 1 species